rnacentral:rRNA from 1 species
CCUACGUGCGGCAGCAGUGAGGAAUAUUGGGCAAUGGGCGCGAGCCUGAACCAGCCAAGUAGCGUGAAGGAUGACUGCUCUACGGGUUGUAAAUUUCUUUUAUAAAGACAUAAAGUGAGGCACGUCUUCCUUUUUGUCUGUACUUUAUGAAUAAGGAUCGGCUAACUACGUUCCAGCAGCCGCGGUCAUACGGAGGAUACGUGCGUUAUCCGGAUUUAUUGGGUUUAAAGGGAGCGUAGAUGGGUUGUUAAGUCAGUUGUGACAGUUUGCGGCUCAACCGUAAAAUUGCAAUUGAUACUGGAAGCCUGGAGUACAGUUGAGGUAGGCGGAAUUCGUGGUGUAGCGGGGAAAUGCUUAGAUAUACCGAAGAACUCCGAUUGCGAAGGCAGCCUACUAGACUGCCACUGACAUUGAGGCUCGAAAGUGUGGGUAUCAAACAGGAUUAGAUACCCUAGUAGUC